GAUGCCCCAAGAGGGUACGACAAAUUCUUCUAGAACUAAUAAGGCAACUUCACAGAGAAACAGUAUACGGGAUAAACACAUAAAGACAGCUCGGUUUUGUACCGACUACGGCCACCUAAAGCUUGCGAUGAACUCAGACAGGCCACCCUCAGAAAACAGCAGCAGCAGCAGCAGCAGCAGCAGAGGAGGAGGAUGGUGGUGUGACCGAGGUCCUACCAGGCUUCUGUGAGGCUUGCUUCUUGUCUGGCGUCUCAAGACCCCACAGCCUUGUCCCGGUGGGCGCAGCACCUCACAACCUCCAGACCCAUGGCCACUGGUCGGAGGACACCCCUUUGCAGCUCCUGAACGUCGUCCUCAAGGUCGGCGCGGAGGACGAAGAAGUGAGCAGCCCUUGGGAAGAUGCUUCUCUGCACGGAGCUCAGAAGAGCCCAGAACGGGGCUUCACUGACGGAGCUGCUAACUCUGUGGGGGGCCUGGAGACAGCGAGAGUGGAAAUGCGGCCGAACCAGGCAGAUGAGGUUUCAGCCUUGUUGGGGCUCAAGUCCUGCUAGAAGAGACCGACUUGAAGCCAGUAGGAAACAUCUUUAUCAUUGGCCUUGAUUCAUUCAUCACAUAGUGUCCAACGUGGAUUCCGUAUGCUGACAACCUGCCUGGCGCAUUACUCCGCUGGCCGCUCCGGUCCAGACGUCAGGCCGUCCCCCGAGGGAAGCCGACCCCACCGGCCCCGAAAGUUCAUGCUUGGGGUGCUGAGCGCCAGGCUGUCCCAGGAAUGGGCCCCUUGGUCCCUGGCCCUCUAUUCCGGCCAGCAGUUCUGGGGAGGCCAAGGCUGGAGCCCGACACUCUCCGUGGUUUCGUGAUCGUUUAAGAAAACAGAAGGGACAAACGUUUCACCGUCUUUAAAAACACAGGAGUCUGAGGAGAGAAGCCAAGGUCCGCCGCUUGGCAGCUCCGCGGGAGGACGAAGCAUCCGUGUCCCUUGCUGACCCACGCUGCGCCGCCUCCUCAUGCCCACGCGGAAGCACGUUUUCAGGCGGCAGUAUUGGCACAGGUGGUGCUGGUCGAUCUGGCAGCGGCGGUCGGAGCGGCCGGUGUAGCUGUGGUUGCUGUGGAUGCCUCCGCUGGAAGCAGCUCUCGCAGCCCUGGCAGGGGAAGACGCUGUAGUGCUUGCCGCUCGACAUGUCCCCACACACCACGCAGUCCACCUGCAGCUCCGGCUUCGCCAGGCUCGGAGUCGCUGGCGGCGCCCGCGGGGGAGGCCCAGGAAGCUGCUGGAGGCCUGCAAGGCCCCGCGGCCAGCACUUCCCGAGCUGCCGCCCCCUCUGUGGCCGCACCUUCCCUGCCUGGGCCUCAGGCGGGGCCCCAGCCUCGCUGGCCUUUGCCGGGCCUUUGCCGCCGCCGCCCACCCUGGGAGCCGGCCUCGAGCUGCAGCCGGUUUUCUCUGGGAAUAGUUUUUCUCCGUUCUCUGCUCUCCUCGGUCUCAGUUUCCAACGCCUUCCUGCGUCUGCAGCCCAAACGUUGUAGGGGAAGUUUGGGUUUGGAAUGGCAGGCUAAAUAGCUGUACCCAACCCAGUGCAAACCAGCAAAGCAUGAAGGACUUUGGGGUUUUUUUGUCUUUUUUUUUUUUUCUUUUAAAAGAUUUUGUUCACUGGACAGUGA